UACACUGGAAAACUCUGAGAAAAAAACAUAAAUAAAUCAAAACUUUCAACAACGGAUCUCUUGGUUCUGGCAUCGAUGAAGAACGCAGCGAAAUGCGAUAAGUAAUGUGAAUUGCAGAAUUCAGUGAAUCAUCGAAUCUUUGAACGCACAUUGCGCCCUCUGGUAUUCCGGAGGGCAUGCCUGUUCGAGCGUCAUUUCAACCCUCAAGCCUGGCUUGGUGAUGGGGCACUGCCUGUAAAAGGGCAGGACCUGAAAAUCUAGUGGCGAGCUCGCCAGGACCCCGAGCGUAGUAGUUAUAUCUCGCUUUGGAAGGCCCUGGCGGUGCCCUGCCGUUAAACCCCAAGUUCUGAAAAUUUGACCUCGGAUCAGGUA
rnacentral:rRNA from 1 species